rnacentral:rRNA from 1 species
UACGGAGGGUGCUAGCGUUGUUCGGAAUCACUGGGCGUAAAGCGCGUGUAGGCGGCCUCUCAAGUCUGAUGUGAAAGCCCGGGGCUCACCCCCGGAAGUGCAUUGGAAACUGUGAGGCUCGAGUCCCGGAGAGGAGAGUGGAAUUCCUGGUGUAGCGGUGAAAUGCGUAGAUAUCAGGAGGAACACCGGUGGCGAAGGCGGCUCUCUGGACGGUGACUGACGCUGAGACGCGAAAGCGUGGGGAGCAAACAGG